CCCCUGAGAUGUCAUGCUAAGACUGAUACUAGGUAGGGAGUUUACAUCUUCCUUGCAUGUUUUGAUGAAUUCUGCUUCUUACAAAUCUCGCUGAGGGGC